rfam:Escherichia coli str. K-12 substr. MG1655, complete genome.
GGCCUGAUAAGGCACUUGUGCCGCAUCCGGCAAUCAAUGCCUGAUGCGACGCUGUCGCGUCUUAUCAGGCC